UGCUCUUGUUGCCCAAGCUGGAGUGCAAUGGCGUGAUCCUGGCUCACCACAACCUCUGCCUCUUGGGUUCAAGCGAUUCUCCUGCCUCAGGCUCCUGAGUAGCUGGGAUAACAGUCAGACGUUGGAUGAGACAUGAGAACGUGGGAGAGUCUGGGCACCUGGGAGCAGAGCAACCAUGGUGGAAUAGAGGCAAAGGAAAUGAACAAGCUCUUCAAUUCCCUGUGUCGCUCCUUGCUGUGUACCCUGGACCCUAAGAGCAACGGCUCUCUGCUCCUGAAUGUGAGAGGCCCCAUCAGCCGCCUCAAGAUUCCAGGCAACUGCAGCAGCUGUCACAAAGCAUCAUGUGGCAUUGAGGAAUGUGGUCAGAAAGCCGCUAAAUGAAAAAAAGGGUCUCAGGAAGGCAAGAAGGAGGGAAGAGCCCUAAGUACCAUCUGAGGAAUGGGGCUUUUUAAAAUCAACCCCUCUAAAGAACCACUUCCCUGAAUCUGUUGAAAGUGUAAAGUUUUCACCCAGCAAAUCGGAGAAGUUCAAGUUUAUACUCUAGGUAAAGAAGGUUUCCUUAAAGCAGGCCAGCAGCUGCAGCUCUCAGAAGAAAAAGAGGAAGACAAUACAUUUUCUUGCUUCGGUUCUGCGGUGGCAGGUGCACACCAAGGGGCAUGGCCUCCAGAAGGAACAGGGGCUUGGCUGGAGAACUGUCAAUUAAUCAUCCAGGAGAAUGCCCCUGACAGCAGGGAGAAAACUCCCAUUCAUUUCCUCGGGAUUGUGCUGUGGCCACUAAAUGCAAUGUUUCUACAAAUAAAAAUUCAUCUGCUCCUG